rnacentral:lncRNA from 1 species
AACCCCUCAAUACCUUCUGAAAUCGAUGGAAACAUCUCAAGACUGGAGCAGCCAUAAAGAUUAAAGGUUUUCAGACAUUUCAUAUGAAUGCAGCUUGGAAGACUCUUAAGUUUCUUGCAAUCUUUUAGGUUGAAAUGACUCAACCCCGUGAGAUUAUUAAUUGACAGGGGCAGUUCUUUAAUUUUGGACCCGGAUAAAUUAAGCUCUUCUAACUCCUCCAUACCUUCUGAAAUCUCUGGAAACAUCUCAAGACUGGAGCAGCCAGAAAGAUUAAAGGUUUUGAGAGAUCUCAUACGAAUUUUGCUGGGUAGAAUCUUAAGUUCCUUGCAAUUUGAUAGGUUCAAAUGACACAACCCCAUGAGAUUAUUAAUUGACUCGGGCAGUUCUUUAAUUUUGGACUCGGAUAAAUUAAGCUCUUCUAACUCCUCCAUACCUUCUGAAAUCUCUGGAAACAUCAGAAGACUGGAGCAGCCAAAAAGAUUAAAGGUUUUGAGAGAUCUCAUACGAAUUUUGCUAG